CUUUAGCUCUUGACAAAGAAAUUCAGUUCAACUAUCUUGUACCAUCACAAGAUAAUUUGGAAGGUCUGAGUGAGUCCCAAAUAGCAGGGAAGAAGUUGUUCUUAGUUCAAGGAGACAAACCUCAACUGAUGAACUGGGAGGAGUAUGGACUGAGGAUUAGUGUACCAGAGGAUAGUCUAUCAGCAUCAGAGA